ACCCGAUUCAAAAUGUGUAAAAAACACGACCUGUUCCUCAACAAGAUUUUCUUCCAAACUUCACUAAAACAACAAGCCUCAACAAACUGGAUUACAAAGAUGUGUAAUCUACAGAAUAAACUAUUAAGCACUAUGCUAGCACAAACCUCCAACGCAUGUGUUUUAUUAAGAAAAUAUAAUUAGACUGAUUUUAGAGUCGCCACUUAAUUGUUAAGAAAAAUCAAGAAAACUAUUGUUUUCAAAAAGACUAAAACAGUAAAUCUAUUGAAAACUAUUAAGGGUUCGAGGUUCUUAUUAAC
rnacentral:lncRNA from 1 species